CUUUUAGGAAAAUGGUCAACAAAGAACAAAGGAAAAAUGUCUUUGUCUUAAAUCACUUAUUUUUCUGAGAGAGCUGGCAGUGUACAGCUCUCAUUUCUUUUGGUCUAAGGAAAGAUUGCCAUCUAUUGGAUGACCUUGGAAAAUAGCAGGUUUUUACUAUCCCAAGAACUUGCCAGUCAAGAUGAAAAACUUCUUCUAAUGGAAUCCAGCUUGAAAGCAACUCAAGAGCAGCUAAGUGAGCAAACAGCAGAAACAGUUCACCAAGAACAGAACAGUAGAAAAUCACAGACAGAGCUGAAAGAAGAUCCUGAGAGAACGUAUUAUAGCUUCUGAUGAAGAAAUUAGUGAUUACAAAUACAUCUCAGUGUGCACUGUAUGGAGACACCAAAGCAGAAAUACUCGCAUAGAUGACAGAAUGUUCAUCUUGUUUGCAGUUGUCUAAACUCUUACAGAAAAAAUCCUGAUUUCUCUUAAAAAAGCAGAAAACUGUGUGGAGAACUUUAAGGUCUGAAAAAUGUGAGUAAUGCCUCCAGAAAAGCUUAAAUGGGAAUCACGCCAAGAAUGUGGGACCAGGAAAGUCAAAUUGUCAGACUGAGACAAAACUUUGUGGAAAUGGAAGAAGAAGUAAAGAACUUAAGACUUACACACAGCAAUGAUGCUCAGAUGAUUGAUAAGAAUCUGAAUACUCUGAGAAAUGAGAUGAACUUGUAUGAAGACACAUAGGAUGGUAGUCAAAUGAGCUGAAGUUUAAAUAUGAACAACACAAUGCAACACUGAGGCCUGCAUGACUGUAAGAAUGUUAGGAUAGAAAAUUGUCUUUGGUAGCAGCAAAGAUUAAAAAAAUAGUAUCACUUAAAUAAAUACAUGUGAAGAAGCCAAAUUUGUAACAAAAAGGAAACCAGUAAAUGAAUUCACAAAAGCCAGCUACUACAUAGCAAAUCUCUGUAUAAAUGGGCUGAGAGUAUGUACCAAGAAGAAGGCAAGUAUCUAUUCUUUUUCAAUGGGAAAAACAAAAAACAAAAAACAAACAAACAAAAAAGCUAUUUCAUCCUUACUUUGGGAAAAAGGCACACAAAACCAAAGCAAAAAAUGCCUCACUGACUGCAUCUGUCCAUUCUGUACUGUAAUUUGUUUCCCGCUAUGAAGAUUUAGGUUAAAUUCAUUUCUAUUAUUAAAGACAAAUAAGCUGCAAAAGAACUAAUUCUCUGUCUCCAUCUUUUACAUGUAUAUUUAUUCAUAUGAAUGCACUUUUGUUCAUUUAUUUUUACUUCUACCUUGACAAAGCUGUGCAAAAAAUAACAUAGUUUGAUUACUCAUAAUUUGCAUUUGUGUAAUUAAUAGGGAUGAAAAGGAUUAAAAUCAAUGGAGAAAUAUUUAUUUGUUUAAAUUGGAUAACUAUGGAAAAACUAUUUGGCAGGAAUGAAAGCUUUUCCAUCUAAAUUACGUCAUAUAAUUUAAACUGUUUUAGUUUUUAAGCUUAAAAAGCAUGAAAAUCACAAAGCAGAACUGGAAGAAGACACAGAAAAAUACUGCCAUGUAAAGGAAGAGCCUUCAGAACAAGGGUCUCAGCUCAAAAUUAGCUAGCUGGUCCAUUCUGGAGUGGGAAAACUGAUAAAAUGCCGCAGUACUCAGGUAAUACCCUUGAUACAAUAUGUGGAAGGGAGACAGUGUUUGAAGUAAUAUCAGUGAAUGUAUCAGAGUACUCUCAGAGAAUUUUUCCAACGGAUAAGGAAAUAUUAUUUAAAUAAUACUAACUGUAAAAUUCACUCAUGAGUGAUUGAGAAAACAUGAGAAAUAUUGUUGAAAAUAUCAAGUCAAUAUAACAGCAGCAUUUCUUCUUUUAAAAGUGUUGUGGGUGGGAUUCACCUUGUUGAACUGGAGGUAGGAAUAUUUGAAAUAGAUGUCUAAGUUCCAUUGCUGUCAUUGGAGACUUAAUCAACUCAGUGAGUGAAAUCAAGGGCUAUCAAUACCUUUCAUUACCCAAAGUGAACCUACAGAAAAGCUGGAGAGUGACUCUUUAUCAGGUAGCAUUGUCAUAGGACAAGGGAUAGUUGCCUUCAACUAAACUAGAUUAGACAUUAGAAAGAAAUUCUUCACUAUGAGGACAGUGAGAUACUGAAAUAAAUUGUCCAUAGAAACUGUGGAUGCUCCAUCUCUGGGAGCAUUCAAACGUAGGUUGAGUGAAGCCCUUGGCAACUUGAUCUCAUGGAAGGUGACUGUGCUAUGGCAGGGAAUUAGAACUAGAUGAAUUUAAGUUCUCUUCCAAACCAUUUUAUGAUUCUAUGACUAAAUAUUGAUCCAAUCAAUAUUAAGGUUUUCAGAGGAGCUGAAAAUCAAUCCCAGUGACAAUAUUAUUCAUUGUGAUAGAACACAUUCACACACCGUAAUGCAGACAUCCAAAUUUGGGUAAGAAUAAUCAGAUUAGAAAAGUUAGCCUUUUUGCAGCAAUUCAUUAUAUAAUACGGAAUUAUUUUAUUUAUUUUUGUUACUAAUAAGAGUACUAGAUGUUUCACAAGCAUAGAUACUGGUCAAUUAUCUGAGCAAUAUCCAAUAUAUAAAUACACAAAGUUAGAAGGAAAUGAUCAAUGCCAGAGAGAAAUAAAAGUUAAAAUAAUACAUGCUUUUUCUUCUGUGUCUGAGAGAAUGUGAGUAGAUGUGAAAGUUGGAAAACCAAAAGAAUUAGUAGUAUGACAACAUUCCUUUUCUACCCUAGCAUUGUCAAAAGAUAACAAGAUUAAUUCUCUGCUGUAGUAUUUCACUACAGUAGUGUGUUAAUUUGAGGGGCUUGGCUGAGCCUUAUUCAGCAUAUAAUUAGAAUUUACUGAACUUUAAUUUCUUAUCAUCUUUAGGCUGCAUUAUCAAAGUGUUUAUAUUGAAACAUUCAAAUGUUCAGUUAAAAAUAAACUUCAGUUUGUCAAGGAUACAUUGUAUACAAAUUCUGUGGAAAUAUUUGAAUAAAAUUGUUCACUUUUGCUUUGUGAGAAAUGCUUUGCACUUUACAUAUUUAUAACAUAAUGUCAUUAGAGUAUGUAUCUUAGAAAUAUAGCAAUUUCCUGGUGAAUUUAUUGAAUAAAUGCUUAUCUAAUAAGUAAUUUGAGAGUAGAGAAAGAUCUAAUGAAAAGCUAAAUACACAGUGAAAUCCUAAUCAAGCAAUUGAAAUAGUUACUCAUGAUAAAACUAAGAUUAUCAGAGUAUCAGAACACAAAUUACUCCAUUAAUCUUUUGAAUUAGUCAGUUCUUAUUUUCUGAAGCUAAGUAACUUGGGAAGGUACACUCAAGGUUUCAUCUUUCUGAAGACUGUAUUUAUUACCUUUACUUUCAUAAAGAGUUCAUUAGAAAGAAUAUUACAGUGAAAUACGUUAACUUUUUAGCCUGUUUUAAUGAGGUCAUGUGAGUCUUUAAUUAUCUGACAUAAAACUGCUUAGUUUUACGUAGUAUCUACAGAUACUAAUUAGUAUCUACAUAUAUACAUUAGUAUCUACAUCAAUUAGUAUCUACAGAUAUUAACGGAUUCAUAUGUCAUAAAGCCAGAAGAAACGCUGUUAUUGAAUCUUAUAUGUGGCACAAUGCAGGCCACAGGACUUCACUGAAUUGAGUAGUUGUAAGAGAUUAUUCUUUUAUAUGAUUGACUCAAAGUUUGCUGAGGAACAAGUCCAGGCAAGUCCUGGGCAAAGGUACAGAAAUCUUCUGUCUGGAGGACACUGAUGGACAGGUCCUGGCUAAAGGAUUGUGAAGUCCUUUAAGGAGCACAGAUGGACGAGGCCAGGGGCAACGAGAGAGGGAUAAGCUGCUGAUAAUGGCUGAGAAAUGGUCUUUUGUGUGGACUUAUCUAGAAGAAGAUGGCCAUCUCAGGAGCUACGCACAUGACUCUUGCUCAAGCACCCAGGGAUGUCACGUAGGCAGGAAAAAGAGGAGGAUAAAAGAGGGUCUAACAACCAUGAGGAGAGGGUUUCUGCCAUCAGAUCCCUCACCACGACGGACUCAAGGUUUCUGCCAUCAGAUCCUUCACUACGGACCAUAUGCUGAUGGACUUCCCUGGGCCUGCUACCUGAGACCUGCUGCUUCCUCCCAGACUUACUCUGCGGCUUCUUCCUGGACCCACCCGGUACCUGCACCCUCUCGUUGCCCAAGACCGGCCUCGCUGCUCCUGCCCUUCAGCCUCGGACCAUCAGAACAUCGUGCAACAGGACUACUGCUGGUGAAUAUAUGGUUGUUACACUGAUGUCUCACAUCUGUGCAAAGAAAAUGCUGUUUCACCACCUGCAACAUCUCUCUGUAUUUGAAGAGAUGUCUGGUUUUCUGAAUACGAGAAUUCCCAGUCGUGGACUUCUGUAUGUCAGUGAACCAACAGGCUGUAUACUCUAUUACCAUGACAGAAAACAGUGCACUGGCAACAGCAUCACAAACACACAGAAUCCGGAGGCCUUCCAAGUGUCACUAUAGUAAAGUUUACACAGCCUUUGGACUAUACAUUAAACGUGAGUGGAAAGGUUUCUACCAGUGUUAACUCUUCCACAUUAAAGGAAAGUACUGUGUACAUAUGGCAUAAUACUAGUAAUAGAAGAGCUUGUUUCUCUUAUUGGAAAUCUUAUUUCCACCCUUUUGUUUGUGUGAGACUUUAUGGAGCAUAUUUUAUAUUCAUUAUUUUCAGAGGAAGAAGGUGAGCUACUACUUGCUCUUUUUCAAGUUAUUUGAAUGUUGAAGAGACAAAGGAAAAAUGAGCAGAAUAAUUUACCAUAUACCUGUUCACAAAAUCUCAGCAUAAUUUUAAAGUUUUAUUUUAUGACUUUUUUUUCCCUGAGAUUCUGGGUUCAUUAUCAAAGAAAAAAUGUUUACUAUUCUUAAAACCUAAUCACAGUAAUCUGCUGCAGAUAGCAUGAAGUAACUCUUUCCAGAGAUAUCCUAAUUUCCUUAUAUUGUUUUAUUUGUUUCCUAUUUAAAGAUUUUGUAUUCAGUCUACAUUUUUUGUUUAUUUUAUUAUCUUGCAACAUAUUUGUUAGUGAUAAUAUCAAUUUGAUUUAGGUAAUGUAUUACAGCUUCUCUGUUCAAAAAUGUCUUGAUGACUGACUUGACAUUUACUAUUCCUUCCCUCAAAAAAAAAUAAGAAAGCAACAAAAAGCAUCUUCAGUGCACUAUAGAUCUUUAGCUGAAUUUUGAGACAGAAUAAAUCUAUUUUUCCAUAGCAGAAAGUCUAUGUUGUAACAUAGUUUUAAUGAUAAGCAUUUCCCCAUAUUGAUCAAAAUACUUUGUUGUAGUUUAUUCUGAGAUAGUAGUUCUCCACUAAGCUGUGUUGUUUGGCAGUAAAGGACAGAAUCACCACGGUUGUGUAGUACACAUGGUUUUGGAGGGGAACACUUGAUAGAAGAUAAGGAGUUCCCUAUUUAUUUGGAAAGCUCAGUCCUUGUCCUUUCAUAACUGCUUUCACAUUGAAAUAUGUAAAGACCUGCCAUUGGAUGACUGAGACUUUACAGGUGAGUAUGAUUUCAGACAUAAUUCUAGGGAUCUAUGCUAUAUUCUAUUCAGUGAUCAUUCUGACAUAGUCAUCACAAUGUCUGUUGCUCCACCUGCAUUGCAGUCUUUCCAAAAUCAGAGGGAAAUAUGUUAAAUUUAAAUGAUAUGGAAAUAUUUUUAAAGUCUACAUAACUCAGACAGAUAUGAUAGUAUUACUUCACUUAGUAUAAAUACAAAGUCUAGAAAUUAAUGGAAAGCUUUCUGAAAAAUCCUCUGCAUAUCAUUUGAUAUAAACAUGUCUUGUCCACCCAUUUCCUAUGUUCAACAAAGCCAUGGUUCUGUUAAACAGUGAUAUGUUCUCCAUAUAUGAAACUAUUAUAUAUUAACAAUAUAAAUAAAAUACAAUAAUACAAAAUAUAUACCAAUGUAGCUACAGUUCU
rnacentral:lncRNA from 1 species